rnacentral:rRNA from 1 species
UGUAUCUUUCCUUCGGGACANAGGAGACAGGUGGUGCAUGGUUGUCGUCAGCUCGUGUCGUGAGAUGUUGGGUUAAGUCCCGCAACGAGCGCAACCCUUGAUCUUAGUUGCCAGCAUUUCGGAUGGGCACUCUAAGGUGACUGCCGGUGACAAACCGGAGGAAGGUGGGGAUGACGUCAAAUCAUCAUGCCCCUUAUGACCUGGGCUACACACGUACUACAAUGGCCGGUACAACGGGCUGUGAAGCCGCGAGGUGGAACGAAUCCUAAAAAGCCGGUCUCAGUUCNGAAUUGCAGGCUGCAACUCGCCUGCAUGAAGUCGGAAUUGCUAGUAAUCGCGNAUCANCAUGCCCNGGUGAAUACUUUCCNGG